rnacentral:rRNA from 1 species
GACGAACGCUGGCGGCGUGCUUAACACAUGCAAGUCGAACGGAAAGGCCCUGCUUUUGUGGGGUUCUCGAUUGGCGAACGGGUGAGUAACACGUGAGUAACCUGCCCUUGACUUUGGGAUAACUUCAGGAAACUGGGGCUCAUACCGGAUAUGAUCUCCUGCUGCAUGUUGGGGGUUGGAAAGUUUCGGCGGUUGGGGAUAGACUCGCGGCUUAUCAGCUUGUUGGUGGGGUAGUGGCUUACCAAGGCUUUGACGGGUAGCCGGCCUGAGAGGGUGAACGGCGACAUGGGGACUGAGAUACGGCGCAGAAGCGUACGGGAGGCAGCAGGGGGGAAUAUUGCACAAUGGGCGGAAGCCUGAGGCAGCAACGCCGCGUGCGGGAUGACGGCCUUCGGGUGGUAAACAGAUGUGGCCUGUGACGAAGAGUGAGUGACGGUAAUAGGUAAAGAAGCACCGGCUAACUACGUG